UGGGGUUUAGUAUAGGAGAGGAUUCACGCUGGUUUUUUGUGCCAGUGACAAUACUUGCUUUGGUCUACUUGGUCUUUCAAGCAACCCAGU
rnacentral:tRNA from 1 species